AUAAAAAGGUCACUUUUCCUUUGUCAUUUUUGCAUGUUGUUGCUGACUAGUGUUAAUAAUUUAAUUAAAAGGUCAGAUCACUCAUCCUUUUCUUAUACCUGGUGUCACUGUCAUUAUUUUCUUUGCGAAUUAGCUGAUUUAGUGUUAUUUGAUUAUAAUGGGUUUUUAUAAUAAUCCUCAAAAGAAGUGGAAAUUCUCUUUGAAGGCAUGCAAGCUUUGAAGGUUCGAAUAAAUUGAAAAUAGCCAGAAAUGUUAGAGGUAUUUCUCUAUUAAAUAUCAUUAAAGCCAUGGGAAGUUUUUAAUGAGAGCAUCCAAGUGCUUGCCUGUUGUGCCUUUUGCUACUGUUUGGCAGUACUGCUGGGAAGCAGGAGCGCUAUUAAUGACAAGAGGCAGCAAAAAGCACGCUUAUUUCAUUAAAGUAUGAGGAUUUGCGGGGCUGGAACAUGACGGGCAGGUGUGGGGACUGCUCUGGCACAGCACCUCAGGAGGCUCCCGCUGAGGUCUGCAGAGAUUUGCAGUUUCCCUUCUCUCCGAAGUGGCCAUCUGCUGUAAAUAAAGCCGUGGUGUGGAGCUCACAGAGGUGUUCUGUGGAGAGUUCUCGCUGUUUACUCUCCGAGCAGCCUUAUUCUCACAACCAUCGUGUUCCACCUGGUUUAAAUCUUUAAUGGAAAACAUCUUCCACUCAUUCGUACCUUCAAAAAGCAGAGACAGAGCUUCAGAGGAAAGGCACAUCCUUGAUCUGUCUUUAUAACACUGUGGUGUUUCUCAAGCUGUUCUCAGACUGCAAAUAGAAGGUUUAAGGCGAGACGCUGAUUUCUAUCAGGCAGCCUGCAGAAUGUGUGCAAGUUCUCGGAAACUUUCAUACAUCAAAUUAUGACACUGUUUUUAAUGAGUGAUGAAAGUUAGUAGAAGAGCAUCAUCAAGUGGAGGAACAAGCUGUGAUCUGGGUCGCUUGAGUACCGGGUUGUGCUGAACUCUGCAAGAAUCCCCACAUGUAAUGCCACGUGGGUUUAUCUGGAAGAGGCGAUGUGAUUAAGGGCAGGGCUGUGAUUAGCAGGACUUGGACAGAAUGCGUUUGAUUGCUGCAGACGGGGCGUUCUGGGAGAAGUGCCUCUCUCAGAACUGAUCCACAGACUGACAUACUGGGGAACUUGGGAUUCACAGGCUGGGAAUUGUGAAGAAACAACUUUAAUUGGCAAAAAAUUAAAAAGUAGGAAAUGAAGAGCUUGGUUACAAAGAACCUGGCGUGGUACACUUCUUCUUUUUUUUUUUUUUUCAAUAGCAGUGUCUAAUUUUAAUAAUAUGAGCUGGGUCCAGCUUAUCUCUCAGGCAUUUUAUGUGCGUAUCUCAGUGCAGAGCAGCUGAACUAUCACAAGCUGAACUGGAGAUGAACCAGCUAUUAGUCGGGCAUCCCUAAAUGGAUGCCAACCAGCAACAGGAAAGGUCAGGGGCAGACGUGCUGUUUACUGAGCAUACAGUUAAUUAUUCAUUUAACGAAAUUCAGGAAUGCCAUAUCCUCUAUGCAACGCAAAAAAUCUCUGGGUCCUGAAGUUAGAGUUCAGUAGGUACUUAAUAACUGCAAAAUUAUAUUGUAUUAGGUGCUCCUGCAUUUUAAUUUAGCAUAAUUUUACAUAUGGCCUGUGUUGUAAACUAUAAUUUCCUUUGAGUUACUAGAGGAAGAAUGCUAAAUACCUUUAUUUGUCUUUAGAAACUAUCCUGAAAGGAGAAUGAGACUCAGGCCCCGUGUUUUUGCUUUUUUUUUUAAACUCCAUUUUUAUAUCUGGAGGAGCGAUAUGAUGCCUAUGGCUCAUGAUGUCCUUUCUUGAAUUGCUUCUGACAGUGAUGAAGUGGGAAAUCUGGGGAAAAUGGUAAUCUCUUGCUGAUCUGCCUCUGUGUAUUCAGAGAUUUACGGCAGUACCCUGUUUCUACUUUCUCAUCCUGCUAGCAUUUUUCAAACAGUAACAAGACAGACUUUAUUCUUUCUUAUUCCAUAAUCAGGAAUGGUUGUUAAGAACCUCUAAUUUGCGAGACAGACACUUUGAACACAUUCAUUAUAGCAACAGGAUGACUCCAGAAUCUGCCAGGGCAAGGUAAGAUAAGUUAAAUUAUCAAUUACACCACCGCACAGCUGAAUAGUAGUGAUAGAGGUGUAAGCCUGCAUGUCUGGGUCUGAUGUAGAAAAAUACCUCUUCCUUGAGUACUGCACUCGUUGAAGGCAAUCCAUGACGAACAAUCAUCAUUCUCCUUUUUUCUGGUACUGCAUUUGAAUAAUAGCUUAGGACUGCUGUAUUCAAUAACUUCAACCUUUGCUCCAUUCAGAAAAAAAACAUGUUUCUGUUUCCCUAAUUUUUCAAGUUUACGUGGAGAGUGGGAUAUGAGAAGGGAAUGGUGUUCUCCUGAGGAAGGUACUAACUGAAAUUUCCCUCAAGUUUACGUUCUCAUUCAUUCUAUUCCAAUGUGUGCUUGUCGAUGUUCAAGUGAAAAGAGUAUUAUUUGCUAUUUUUUCCACACUUAUACUAAGUUCACAGGAAAUCCUCUGAUUCGCCUCUGUUUGGUGCUUAUACGCUUUUCACUGUCUCUCACAGAAAAUCCUGCUGGGAGUGCACCACUUCUGUAGAGAAACUUCAUCGAAUCAUAGAGUCAUUUGAGUUGGAAGGGACCUACAGAGGCCAUCUGGUCCAACCGCCCUGCAAUGAACAGGGAUGCCCACAGCUCCAUCAGGUGCUCAGAGCUCAGUCCAGCCUGACUUUGAGUGUCUCCAGGGACAAGGUGCCUACCACCGCUCUGGGCAACAUGUGCCAGUGCCUCAUCACCCUUAUUCUUUAACUGAAGAAGAAACAAGCAGCUUUGCCUUUCUCCAUGGUUACCUGUGUGACAGACUGGGAGGAUACCUCGCUAAUUAAAUUAGAAUGAGGUCUGUUAUUUGAAGAAUGCUUAUUCACACAAUUGGAAUGGAAGCAACGUCCUAUGGCUGGCUGACCGACCACAGAGAGUGCGUAAUUAGUCAGAGUGGAAGCCUGAAGCUGAUAUACUGACAUAAAAACAUUUACCUGUGCCUUUGUCUGAUGGUAAAAAUUAUGAAUACGGAUGGCAAAACUGGGAUCAGCUCUCUGCAAUUCAGAUGCAUAAAGUGCAUUACAUUUACAGGAAACAGUCUGUAAAAGUAGUAACGCAAAAUGAAUGUGUGUAUUAAUAUAUGUGGUGAUAACUUUUUCUUGUUGGCAAAUGAAAGCACUCUUGAUGGGAAACUUCUCAAAGUGGUGGGAUUUAAAGGGAUUGCUUAAUUUUAUAAAGAGUUUCUGUACAGACAUGCAUGCACACACAUUUUUUGGCAAGUUCUCAUGAGCUAUCUCCAUAUUCCAUCUGGCAGGGAUCAAGCCAUGAUCCUUUCUUUGUGUGCUGCUGCUCUAUUGUGGUGCAUUAACUCCAACACUGGGGGAAAAACACCCUGCAGUAGUGACUCCAUCCAGCCAACAUCCUGUGGCUUUUUGCAGUUUUCUUUCCGUGAGAUGUGGGAGAGGUGGCUGUAGAUGGAGGCUCUCCUGCAAAGCACUGGGAGAUCUGUUAGUUACUUUGCUCCUUAACAAAGUGAUGUGCUAGAGUGUAGUGUGGCUAUCACAAAGCAGUAGCAGCAAAUACUUUGGAAGUACACUGAGCGUGUGAGAGAGCAGGAAUGCCACCAUAUCACAGAACCAUUGGGGUUGAAAGGGACCUCUGGGGAUCACCAAGACCCCUACUAAAGCUGCUCCCUAGAGCAGGCUGCAGUGUGGCUGAGGAGAGGCGUUGGUUGAAACGGAGAGUCUUCAGGAAGGUAAUUGAUGUGUCCAACUGCCCUGUGUCCUCCCCACACAGAGUUUGUCUCUGGACUGUGUCCAUCAGCUAUAUUGUCUUCUGACACCAACAGUUAAAUAGGACCCAGAGAGUCAGUGGAAAUACUUGCAUGUCAUGGUGGUCAUCGAACCACCAUGGCCACCUCCUAUGAGCUCCUGGGUGCCUGCCCAGAACUGCAGCAGUGCUGGGGAUGUUUAAACACUUUUCAGAGACCCUAUGUGAACCAACGUUUGAUAUCCAAGGUUAUGAACAUUACAUGGGGUAUUUUCAAGUGUGCCUGGCUUGGAAAUUCUGUCUUGGUGACAAGUUAAAAAAAAGAACAAACAAUACAAAUUUGUAAAGCAGUCACAACGGUGAGCUCUGCACACUUCCAUAACAGGAGCUGUUUGAAGACCAUAGUGGGAGAAGGGAAAGCAGAGGCACAUGUGCCAAAAAGCAGAGCUGAGGGGCUCUGCCAUGAAGAAUGUCCGCUCUUUGGUGUGAGCUGUAAAAUACAUUUUAAUAUGAGUCGGAAAAAAAAAAGGGCCAAACAGAAUGAUGCCCUACAUAUAAUUCCGUGGAAACCGUAGAAAAACUUCCACAAAUAUGUAGUUCACCAUUUAGGUUACUUAAAUAGUCACAUUUAGGCAAAAGUGGAGAAUGAACACAAGGAAUCCAGGCAGUAGGGCAAGAAUAGUAUGGACUGUGCUGAAAUGUACACCUUCUUUCAGACAUGGCAGUGUCUAAGCAAGCAGAAACCUACAGACUCUCCCUGAGCUCGCACAUGGAGCUCUGUGCAGCUUUCUGGUGCGGGUGCUCACCCUGUGAGCACAAUUAGUCUCUGCUGGCACCAUGCACUUAAUUACUGAAACAAAGGUGCUACAGUUUGAUCCUGGGAUUAUCGUGGGUUUGCUGCAGGAAACUUAAGUUACUGACUCUGGCUUGACGGCUUCUAGUAUGCUUUCUCAAUUAAGCUGUGCGUGCCCCCAAAUUAAAUAGCAAUUCAUAGCUGCUGCAAAUUGAUUUCCACCCAGGCUGUGGUUAGAGCUGCCAAAUGAAAUGUCGGAGAGGAGCAUGUUCUUAAUUUAGAAUAUUACACAGAUUUUCUUUAAAAAAAAAAAAAAAAAAAAAAAAAAAAUCUCUCAGCAUUUAUAAGCACUUGGUAAGUAAACUUCAGCCCUUUACCCACUCUUUUCUUCAUGAUGUAUGGAUGAGCCUCAGUGACUUACAAUUCUAUGAGCUUUAUUGUACUGCCUUUUUGUGUAUUUAGGGCCAGUUAAUAUGAUCCAUACAGCGGACUAGAGAGUAAUUUAAAUUUUAAUAUAUUGCAGUCAAGCAGUGUCAGUAAGUUAUUUCUGUCUGUGAAAAGGUACCAGUUCUCUAACUGACUAUGGCAAGAAAGGAAAAACCCUAUCCUCCAGAUCCAUUGAAAAAACACAUAGAACAUACGUAAAAUUGUCCGUUGAUUAUGUCAUCACAGACAGUACCAGGAAUUGCCCAACGUCCGUGUGUCACCGGUAUCUGUGAGGAUUAGUGACUCUGGAUCAGUCACCUAGUAGUGAUGCGGAAAGACCUGACUUGGCUUUUGAGUUCAGCAUGUUUCCUGUGCAGUGCAGCCCUGAGUGCUUUGCAAAUCCUGAGCUGCGCAGGGGAUAUCUGAAGGGAGACAAGGGCAUUCCUCUUGCCAUUCUGCGUGCUUGACUCCCGCUCUUCACCUGCCGUGCUCUGUCCCCUUGUGCAUCUCUCACCCCUGCUCCUUGCCUAUUAUCAAAUAGACUAAUUGCCAAGUACGGAAACAUACCAAUGACUGACCAUUAGCCCACCUACCAAACACACAGAAAACAAUUUUUGCAAUGUAAAAAAGAGUAAUGUUUUUUUUUUUUUUCUGGAUUUCCCUUCUCUGCUGAGUUAGUCAGCAAUUGUAAUGUAAGCUGUCAUUUGUUGUCCCUUAUGCAGUAAAGUUCAGCCUUGGAUGACUUUAAAAAGUAAAGUUUUGGUUUCUUUCUUUUGAGCAAGUACAUUUAAUGAGUGGGAUUUACUUACAGGAUGGAGUAUCUCUACAUCUACAAAUGGUACAUGUGAUGAAGCUUUAGAAGUUUUAUUUAUUUAUACCAGCUAGAGAUAUGCCUGCUUUUUUGAGUAAAAGGCAAGUGUCUUAAUGAUAGCUUUGUUGCUACCUGUUAAUAAUAAGCUAAAACUGGACUCUGAUCACAAAUCUCCUAGAUAUAUGCAAAUGGACUAUCUUGCUGUUCUCAUUCCUACAUGAUGCUUAGAACUGAGUUUGGAACCGGCAUUAAAGUUUUGCAACUCGUUAAUUUGUAGAAUAUCUUAGACCCUUCCUAUUUAAAUUCCAUAUACCAUGCAUUGGUACUUUCUGCAUUUGAACAAAAUAUUCAGGGUAACAGCCCUUGCGUGAUUUAUUCAUGAAGUCCAGUAGCCAUCUGCAGCAGUGAGCAAUAACUGAGAAGGAGGCAAUCAUCUUUCAUAAUCACAACUCACCAAGUGUACAUCUGUGCAUCCCAUUUGUUAUAAAACUCUUGGUUUAUUGUCACAAAUAAACUCAGGGGCCAAACUCUCUCUUGCAAACAGGAGCAAAGAGGAUUUGCAGCUCGGGUGGCUGCAGGCUCCCAGCACGCACACACAGCACCACGGCUCAUGUAUCUCUCUGUGCUGGGGGCCUGAGCGCACUGCUGGCUGUGCACACAGAGCUGGGCCAACAACAAAAUGCAGAGGAAAAUGCUAAGGUGUUGUGGCUGGCAUGAAUGACACUGGGUUAUGGUAUUAUUAUGGUAAAAAAACCUUUGAGAGAAAGAUGACCACACCUGAACAAAGUUUAGAGACACCUGG